UAUCCCGAACACUGGGCUUCUUAAAAAAUAUUACCCCAAAUCAUGCAAUUGGAUUUAUAGUAUUAUAACACUCUUUUAUUUGUAGUUUUGUUAUCAUCACUGGUUUGAAACCCUUUCUAUUGUCAUCAAACGUAAGGUGCCACUCAUUAACUUCUUUUACCCCCAUGCUUGAUAUCUCGUUGGUGAAAAAGGAUCACGGUCUUGUCUUCCAUUCCCUUCCUCUCUCAUGAUUCCCGUUGCAGCGAUUGCUCCCGGCGGCUCGGCGGCAAUGGAGGCGCCACCUGACCCAGCCGUCCCAUCCUGCUCGAUGAGAUCGUCGCCGACAUCCACGCUUGGUGCAAUGCCAUCUUCCUUUUAGCAACUUGUGGAUCCUGUGCAAUCUACAGCAGAAGUUGUUUCUACUUUGUUCGCACCUAGAAUUGAAAGGAGAGGUGUGAAGAAGCUUACUCUGAAGAAAAAGAUAUAAGUGAUGUAUUAUGGCACUUGUAGAACUGUGAGUUGUUCAAUGGUGUUAUCAUAGUAUUAUGGCACUUUAAUAUCUGCAAUUUGUAGAACUGGAUUCUGUAAAAUGUGAACUGGUUUCCUAGUAAGUUCAUGUUAACUAUUA